rnacentral:rRNA from 1 species
UGGAUGACUAGGUUCGAAACGCCGAUGAAGGACGUGACAAGCUACGAUAUGCUCUGGCGAGUUGAAUGUAAGCAUUGAACCAGAGAUUUCCGAAUGAGUCUUCUCUCUCUUAGAUCCUUUGGGAUCGGGGAACGCAGGGAAUUGAAGCGUCUUAGUACCUGCAGGAAAAGAAAUCAAUUGAGAUGCCGUGAGUAAGAGCGACUGAAAGCGGUCCAGUUCAAACUGAAUCCGUUACAGUAAUGUAAUGGAGAUGUGGUGUUAUGGACUUCCUUUUCAGCCAUUUUUUAGAUUCGAAGUUUCUUGGAAAAGAGCACGUUACAGGGUGAUAGUCCCGUAGAAGAAUGAAAAAUGGUUUUGGAAGUAUCCAGAGUAUUGCUCCUCGGAAAUGGAGUGAGAAGUUAGGGGACAUUAACCUCUAAAACUAAAUACGUUUCGAAUCCGAUAGAAAACAAGUACCGUGAGGGAAAGUUGAAAAGAACCCUUGACAGGGAGUCAAAAGUUCCUGAAAUCUAGUAGUGAUAGUGAGUUAGGGCUCUACGGAGUUCUAACGUGCGUUUUGAAUAACGUGCCAGGGAGUGUAUCUAAGUGGCGAGGAUAACCUGUAAAAGGGUAUCCACAGCGAGAGCGAUAUUCCGCAGUUUACGAGGGAAGAGGUAUGAAAGUGCCUUUAGUCACUUGGGUACUACCUGAAACCGAGCGAUCUAUUCCUGAGCAAGGUGAAGCGGAGGUUAAACUUCGUGGAGGCCUGAAGAAGUUCUACGUACAAGUGUUUUUCUGACUUGGGAAUAGGGGUGAAAAGCCAAUCGAGCCCGGCUAUAGCAGGUUCCUGCCGAAAUUGACCUUAGUCAAGUCUCAGACGAGAUUGUUGAGGUUGUAGAGCUACGGAUAGGAGAUUUAGGCGAGGAAACUUGUCGGUUUUCUGUCCAACUCCAAAUGCUUCAACAUUGUAGACUCUGGGAAACAGGGAAUCUUGGGGUAAACUUGAUUUCCGAGAGGGGAACAACCCAGACUAUGGUUAAGGCCCCUAAGUGCUAGCUAAGUGAUAAAGGGUAAAGGGUGUUCAUGAUCUCAGACAGCGAGGAGGUUGGCUUAGAAGCAGCCAUCCUUUAAAAAGUGCGUAACAGCUUACUCGUUGAGGUCGUGAGCCCCGAAAAUUGACGGGUCUAAGCUAGCCGCCGAUACCAUAGACUAUGAAUAAUAGGUGUAGGCAGGCGUCUUUUUAGGGUAGAAGCUUUUUUGUAAGAAUAAGUGGACCUUAAAAGAAUGAAUAUCCUGGUGGUAGUAGGAUCUUAGCAGGGUGAGAAUCCCUGUCGUCGGAAGGGCAAGGGUUCCUUGGCAAUGUUCGUCAGCCAAGGGUUAGUCGGUCCUAACCUUACUCGUAAUUGAGUAUGGGGAAAGGGAAAGAGGUUAAUAUUCCUUUACUAUUUUAGUAUACGUGGCAACACAAGCUAAAUUUCUGACAUUUGCGGAUAGGUCAACACAUUUUUUCUGAUGUGUUAAUUUAGAUAAAUCCCCGGAGUAUCGUAAUGAUGAGAACGGGAUUAAAUAAAGAUGAGCGGGCCUAUGGUCAGUUUGACUGAUUCCUCGAAUCCAUGAAAAAGAAAUUUAGAUAAAUCUAAAAUAACCGUACCCAGAACCGGCACAGGUGCCCCUAGGUGAGAAGCCUAAGAUGUGUGAGUCUAAUCUAGUUCAGGGAAUUCGGCAAAUUAGUCCCGUAUCUUCGGUAUAAGGGAUCCCUGCAAUCGUAUCUGCAUAGGUGCGAUAUCAGGGUGCAAUAACAAGGGGGGAACGACUGUUUAACAAAAACAUAACUUUCUGCAAUGCUGCAAAGCUUAGUAUAGAAGGUGAUAUCUGCCCAGUGCCAGUACUUUAAGCUUCGGUUCAACGGGGUGAAGAGCUGGUAAACGGCGGGAGUAACUAUAACUCUCUUAAGGUAGCGAAAUGCCUUGUCGUUUGAAUGACGGCCUGCAUGAAUGGUAUAACGAUUUCCCCACUGUCCCGAACUAGAGUCUCCCGAACACUCUAUCCUGGUGCAAAGGCCAGGGACUUCCAGUGGGAAGCGAAGACCCCGUGAAACUUUACUGUAGCCUGUCGCUGUGGUGCGGUUUUUGUUACAUAGCGUAAGUGGGAGCCGUUAUGCGUAUCUUUUCGGAGAUACGAUAGGCGCCAAUGUAACACCACUUAACAAAAAUUUCAUCACUUACUCUCUAUGAGAGGACACCGGUUGGUGGACAGUUUGGCUGGGGUGGCACGCUGUUGAAAAGAUAUCAAUAGCGCCCAAUGGUAGACUCAUCCGGUUUAGAAAUCCGGAGUUGAGUGCAAGGGCAAAAGUCUGCCUGAUUGGACUUUAAACAUAACAAAUUCCAAACACGAAAGUGUGGCCUAGCGAACUCCCAUGCCUUCUUAAUGAGGGCUGGGAAUGACUGAAAAGUUACUCCGGGGAUAACUGAGUUGUCGCGCCCGAGAGUUCAUAUUCGUUGUUCGUUUUGGAACACGAUAGAAUAGAUCGACGGCGCGGUUUGCUACUUCGAUGUCGGCUCUUCCUAUCCUGGCGGUGCAGAAGCUGCCAAGGGUGGGGGUGUUCACCCGUUAAAAGGGAUCGUGAGCUGGGUUCAGAACGCUGUGAGGCAGUUUGUUUGAUAUCUACUGGGAGUGUUGGGUGUCUGAUAGGAAGGACCUUUUAGUACGAGAGGAACGAAGGUUCGUGGCCACUGGUCGAUCGGUUAUCCGAAAGGGUAAGCCGAGCAGCUACGCCAUAAGCGAUAAGUGCUGAAAGCAUCUAAGCACGAAGCGUACCUAGAAAAGAGACACCUU